rfam:HIV-1 isolate 94BR-RJ-97 from Brazil, complete genome.
UUUUUUAGGGAAAAUUUGGCCUUCCCACAAGGAAAGGCCCGGGAAUUUCCCU